rnacentral:rRNA from 1 species
UACAGAGGUCCCAAGCGUUGUUCGGAUUUACUGGGCGUAAAGGGUGCGUAGGAGGUUGGCAAAGUCGGGUGUGAAAUCUCACCGCUUAACGGUGAAAUUGCGCUCGAUACUGGUUGACUAGAGUAUCGGAGGGGAAAGCGGAAUUCCAGGUGUAGCGGUGAAAUGCGUAGAUAUCUGGAGGAACACCGGUGGCGAAGGCGGCAUCCUGGACCAAUAUUGACGCUGAGGCGCGAAAGCCAGGGGAGCGAACGGG